rnacentral:rRNA from 1 species
UCUACGGAGAGUUUGAUUCUGGCUCAGAACGAACGCUGGCGGCGUGGAUAAGACAUGCAAGUCGAACGAAGAUCUUGAAUAGCUUGCUAAUUAAGAUCUUAGUGGCGGACGGGUUAGUAACACGUGAGAACCUACCCUUUAGACAGGAAUAGUCCCGGGAAACUGGGUUUAAUGCCUGAUAGUCUCUAUGGAGUAAAUGGUGCCUUCGGGUAUCGCUAAAGGAUGGGCUCGCGGCCUAUCAGUUUGUUGGUGAGGUAAAGGCUCACCAAGACUACGACGGGUAGCUGGUCUGAGAGGACGAUCAGCAACACUGGAACUGAGACACGGUCCAGACACCUACGGGUGGCAGCAGUCGAGAAUCAUUCACAAUGGAGGCAACUCUGAUGGUGCAACGCCGCGUGGAGGAUGACGGUCCUAGGAUUGUAAACUCCUGUCAUUGGGGAGUAAGACUUAUGCGUUAAGAGCGUGUAAGUUUGAUAGUACCCAAAGAGGAAGGGACGGCUAACUUCGU